rnacentral:rRNA from 1 species
AAGCUCCGGUGCCUAAGGAUGGGUCUGCGGCCUAACAGGUAGUAGUGGGUGUAGCGUACCUACUAGCCUACGACGGGUACGGGUUGUGAGAGCAAGAGCCCGGAGAUGGAUUCUGAGACACGAAUCCAGGCCCUACGGGGUGCAGCAGGCGCGAAAACUUUACAAUGCUGGCAACAGCGAUAAGGGGACCUCGAGUGCC